rnacentral:rRNA from 1 species
UACGUAGGGCGCAAGCGUUGUCCGGAAUUAUUGGGCGUAAAGAGCUCGUAGGUGGCUGGUCGCGUCUGCCGUGAAAGCCCGCAGCUUAACUGCGGGUCUGCGGUGGAUACAGGCCGGCUAGAGGUAGGUAGGGGCAAGUGGAAUUCCUGGUGUAGCGGUGAAAUGCGCAGAUAUCAGGAGGAACACCGGUGGCGAAGGCGGCUUGCUGGGCCUUACCUGACGCUGAGGAGCGAAAGCGUGGGGAGCGAACAGG